AUUUCUGCAUCCUUAAGUACUUCAACCUGUUUCUGAGAAGACAGGAUUUUCCUCUUGAGGGUAUUACAUAAUAUUUAUGCAUGCUGAAGAGCUGAAGACUUUUUUUAUGAAUGGGAAUAUAUUCUCCAGAGUAACAAAUCAAUAUAAUGAUAGACUGCAUUCCUAUGUGGCUUUUUAAUUUCAGAUCUGAAUGAUGUGUAUACAUUUUAAUUUGCAUUAGGAGUGUUGCCUAGACAAACAUACUCCAUUGCUUCUACAUGGUAAAUUGCUUUUGUUGCUUGACGAGCACACCGCUCUUGGUCUCCACCAGUGACCUCUAGCAGCACAGUAAGGCGGUGAGCUUACUUACCGCUCUUGCCAUGCCGUGCUAAGAAUGAAGAGAAAGGACUCCACGGGGAGCUCGCUUUCUGUAGCUGUGGUCCUCAUGGACUGGGCCAGAACUAAACAGUAAAUUUAGUGGCCUAUGCUGUUAUUUUUAUCAUGUCCUUGUUGGGCUUGUUGAUGAGCUUUCACUAUCAGGACUGUUCUGGGAAUUCAGUCCUGCUGUCAUUGAAUUUGGAGACAGUUUUGCUACUGAACUCAGCAAGUGCAUGGGUAAUCUCACAUUAAGGCACAACUACUGGAACUCUCUUAAAUCUGAUGUGUCUUCACAUUGGCCUUUUGUGAUUUCCUUGCAUCUGGCUUUUUCCAGGAUUGCUGCACAACUAAUAUACCACACUCCAAUGGAAAAUGUAAAGAGACGUUUGUUGCUAAUAGACUUUCAUUUACCAUACGCUGUAUUGUAAGUGCCAGUAAACUACUUAGUUUUUCUAGGUAAUUAAAAAUCAAUUUUGAAAUUUUAUUUAUUUAUUUUUAGUGAGUGACAGCUGAUGGAGUUUUAUGUUCUAGUUUAAGAACAUGUUCUGCUGCUUUAGUCUAAUUUUAGAUGCUAAAAUGAUCAGUACAUCUGACCUACAAGGAAGAGAAUAUUUGUAUCAUUGGUUUAAUGGGCACCUUUAUUCCAAAAAAGAAAAGCCAUGGAAGAACAAACAGAAUAUUGAACCUGCAGCUUGGUGGUAUUGUACAAUUCUCAGAUUCACUGAUCAAUUAGUGUCUCUUCACCACAUACUGAGACUCUGUCCAUGUGGCUUUAUGUAGUGUUGUGCCUGAUCACACCCUUGCAAACAUCCAGUGAGGCAGGGAAACAGUGCUUUCCUUAUGUUUUAAGGAGGACACAGAAUGUCAGAUUAGUCCACAGGAACUGAGUAAACGAUCAGUGAAUUGAGUCCAGGUCUUCUAAGCCAGAAUCCUCUCUUACUAAAUAAUCCUUCUCUCAGGCUCACUCUCCAUCAUCAUCUGCUCUGUGUGUGUGUGCGUGCGUGCGUGUGUGUGGUGGGGCAUAUCUUUUCCCCUUAAUCUCAGACCUCCUACUGAUUUCAAGGUAAGGCUUUCUCACUACAGCAUUUCUGGUCAUGAGAAACAGUGCAAAGGGGUUGUGAAUGUGUAUGUCUAUGUUAGGAUAAUAUAAAGAAGUAUGCAAUCCCUGCACUUGGCCGAGAUCCUGAUGUCCGCAACAAAGCUCUACCAGAUAAAAAGUCAGGAUGUUUGUUCAGCAUCAUCAGGCCACAGAGAAGUGAAAGAAUCCAAAGUGCGAUCCAUAUGCUGCCCUGCUGCCAAACACAUUACCCAACUGGGCAAGAUAAUGUAAGCACAUAGGUUUAUUCCACUUAAAGCAUGUUAGCUUUGAACAGAGAUUCACUUAGUGAGGAAUGAUUUUAGAACAGCUGAAUAUUAUUGAUAGCAAGAUCUAGCUGACAGUAUGGCUCGUACAGUUUCAAGCUUGCGCUGAAGAACCAUGGAGUUCCUGGUUCCUUUCAGAUCCUGGUCAGAUUCCUGCCUUUGUCCACAGGAAAUGUGCAGAGGUGAACAAGAACAUUGGGUAAACAAGAUCAGGAAUGUAAUUACUAUUACUAUCUGUCGUUCAAGGGAAAUGAGGUUCCCCCUCUGGGCCUUUCUUUCUUUUUUUUUUGUUUUUAAUUUUUUUUCUCCCACUUACUUUGUUUCCUUCUGUCCUUGAUUGUAAGUUUCUCUUUGUCUGUUGUCUACAUUUAUUUCCCCGCAGUGAUUUUCCCUUUCCCCUGCUACAGUGAUCACUAGUGACACAAUUGAGUAUUGCACUGACCGGUUCACGCAUAUCCCUGCCAUCUUCUCAGUUUACCUCAUGGCUGGUCGCUGUUAUGAACCCUUCUGCUUCUGCUUCAGCCCUAGUGUCUGACCACUUUUGUCUGUCCCCUUGAGGCAGCGUCCAUGAGCAUUUGUUGUGCUUGUCCAGGAGAUCUGACCAGGCGUGGCACCAGCCAAGGGUUUGGCGAACAGAGAAUCACCAGGUAGCCUCCUUGAAAAUAAAUCACUGCUCACUCAUUAUAGGUGCAGUGAAGUUUUUGGAGAAGUGCGUUUUAAAACGGUCUAGGGCAGUACUACUGCCUCACAGCCUGCCUUUCUCUAACAAUAAUUUAGGCAGGCCAUAUCUUAUGUUGAUGCAGUGGGAGCUCGUGCCAGUCUGUGUUUGCUUGAAUCUCUUUCAAACCCCAGAAGAGAGAGUCAUCUUUCUAUACAGUGGAAGUUCCUUUGUUUUGUGCUUUCUUGCAUUUUUGCCCUGCUCCAGGAAACCAGUUUAACAGGAUGUUGAGCCAGUCUCCUUGGAGGUGAUGACUCUGCCUUGUCCAACGACAGCCUUCAAAGGCUUGCUGUAAGGAGGAAGACACCGAAAAUAGGCAUUAAAAUGAAGACUCCAUUUGUUACUCCAUUGGUUACUUUCCGAAUAGAGAAUAGAUCCCAUAAGAAGAUGAAGAUCAACUAGCAAAAUCGGUUGCAAAUAUUAUUGACGGUGGUAUUUACAAAGAAGUAACCAAUGUUUUAAGGAUAUGUCAGCAGUAAGCAUUUUUUUCCUGAGGAAAUGUAUGUCCUGUUUUCUAAUAGGUGUGCAUUCUUCCUGCUUACAGCAAGGGAGAAAGCUCUGAUACAACUAAAAUCCAUUUACUCUUCAACAGCACAUAUAAGCUGCGAACUAAACCCUGUCUAGGCAGCAAACUAUAACCUUGCGUUAUCUACUUUUCUUCUGGCUUUCUUGGAGCUGCUGUUAAUACUAUAUUAGUUUAUUGUUCAGAAUAUAGUUAAUGAGUGCCAAGAUAUGACAAGAAGAAUGAAUUUCACACUGGUUAAUUGGCUGAGGGGCCUAAUCAACCCUUCUCUGUGACAUCUGAAGAAGCACUCAGGCUUCCAGGAUAGACCUAGAGGUCAUUGCUCCUGGCAGCUAGGCUGAGAGGUUGAAGAGAUAUUUACCCUCUCCCUGCAGAAGAGCUAGAGUCCAAGGAAAACUGCUAUUUAUCAAAGUCUUCCCGCAGAAGGAGAGACCUGAUAAUUUGCCAGCAAUUGAGCACAGCAGAUUGCUAUGUCGCUUCUCUGGGAAAACGUCUGAAGCUCAGAAGAUUUGCUGUAGGCCUGGAUUUACUGUGCUGUCUUGCCAAGGAUGGAUGGAAAGGGGGAAGUUAUGGCUAGAUAAUACCUAAGAAGAGGAGAUGAUCCACAUGUCUACACGUUCUCCAGAAUACUUAAGGCAGUGUGCCACAACUCAUUAUUACCAAGAGGAGCUUCAAAGCCUCAUCUGGGAUUGGCACCCCCAUGUGUCAGGUCAGCUUGGAAAGGCUUGGAGUGAACUGCGCAGAGUGGACGCUGGGGAGAGAGGGGGCAAAGAGGUAACUUGGCUGGCCCCGGAUGGCAGCAAGUCGGGAGAAGAACUAAGUCACCGAACUACAUGUCCUGCCUCCUGGCUGAAAACACCUCCCUGCCCCUCUCUUUAACAUGAUUUUUCCUGAUCCCUCAGUCAGCACAGUGGAAAAUCAGUCCAACCUCAGAAGGAACGUGAUACGCAGCACUUAACAUGUUUCUUGCUUGGUAUGUUCUUGUAUAUGUUUUUUUAAUGACUUUCUUUUAGUUUCAAGGAGCAGCUUAGAAAAUGGACAGUAACUCUGUAUGAAAGGAAACCUUUGCUGCAGGAGCUGUACCCAUGUUUAUUACAGUCUCAGCUUAGAUGGAUACAGAUUUGUGACCUGGCCCACGGGGAGUGAUCAUUUGGGGAGGUGAUGGUAACAACCCUACACCGGAGGUGGAUGUGAUGCCUCAACAAGCCUCAACGUGGGAGCGCCUUCACAUGGCUCCUGGGCAGCCGGCAGCGUGCCCUCCGCUGGCCUGGUCCUGUUUCCUGGGGGUUUCUGUAGGGUGGGUUAACUCACCCUGGGAUGCACAUGCUGGCUCCCCCGAGGACUUGCUCCUGCAAAGAAGAGCAAAAGGGAGCAGGAGGAGAGCUGGCGUGGCGCCUCAUCCUACCUCCUGCCUUUACCCGUGCUCAGUGCCUGCCUCCAAAAAGGUUCCAGGCAGUUGCUGAGCUUUUCGUCUUCUGUUGUGUGCACAGCUGGAACAAAAUGUGUGGUUCGCAGAGCCUGACUUGUCAAGGAAGGAGAGUUUCAAAGGAACAAACUUUGAGAAAAGGAGCUUAAAAGAGAGUUUUGUUAUUACUAGGCGCUGGGGAAGGCCCUGCAGAGAUGCCUGUUAGUGGUAUGGACACCUCUGUCCUUGCACCUGUGGCAGCAGAGAUCCUCCAUGGGCUCUGAGGUGCUUUCUCCUCCCCACGCUGGAGCUGCUAACUCAUGUUGGUGCAGGCAGCCUGGGCCGGGAGAUACCUGCUCCAUCGUAGGCCGUGUUUCUUCCUGUGCCCAAAGCUCUGCACGUGAUAGAAAGACACAAGGGGAGGGAGGAGGGGUGAGUUUGGAGCCGGGCGCUCAAGCUAAGGAUUUCUGGCUAUUCUUAUGCUUGCAUUCUUCUACUUAGAAAUGAUUCAGUUAUUCUUCCUCUUAUGGUAUAAUAGGCCCCGUAAGAAAUUUCCUGUGUUAACAAAAAGUUGUUAUUGCAUAACAUCAUUCUUUCAAUAUAUUCUUCUCCUUGGGGAGAAAACUGAGGAGCAGAAAGGUUAAAUGUGAGAUUGUCAAAGGAGUUGCCAUGACUGAGGAGCAUAGACUUUCUCUUGUCUAAAGCUCCUUUGGAACUUGGCUCCAGAUGAUGCAGAAAGCUAAUUUUCUUUCUUUAUUAUUCUUCUUAUUAUUAUUUACGAAGCUGAAAGCGAGGUUUAGCUCAUGUAGGGAGCAGGGCGUACUUUUCCGUGUGCUAGACACUCCUACUUCAGUCCUCUGCUUUGCAAUGGGCCUCCUCCAUGGAAUUCUUUGGGAUUUAAUAGGCUGAAGCGUGCAGCCGUUGGUGGGACCGGCUAGGUUUGUACACUGGCGAUCUGGAGCACAAAAUCCUAAGAAGCCAUCAUCCUGGACAGGAUGAGCAGCCUCUUCUCAGAAUUCCCUGUCCUGACCACCAGAGACAGCCUCCCACUGAAAUAUUGUCAAAUAGUGACUACUGGUCUGCACAUCAUGGUGCCAGUGCCAUGUACUUUGUGAUUAGAGACAUGGCCUCCAACGGCUGUAAAUGGUAUGGGAAUUACAAAGUAACUACAGGGCUGAAUAAAAAAUGCUUUGUUAAAGGGGGAAAAAAAAGGAAGCAGUAAGAAGGAUAGCCAGGGUUGGCAAGAUUGGAGUGUGGGAAGGAUAGAAUGUAGAAUUCAAAGAACUUUUGGUUCAUUAGCAAGCAAACAUGCUGUGACAGCUCAUUGUAAAACAAAUGUUUUUCUCCAUAUGAAAAUGCAAAUGUUUGUUUAAAACAAAGGCUGAGCCUGAAAUUACUUUCUGUGGCUGGCUGCCUGGGUAUAUAUGGUGUCCUCAGUAAUCACUGCUUUACCUGUUCACACAGCAGAAGGGAAAUCUAAUGCUCUAUAAGUAAAUAAAAGUAUAAUCACUCUAUGCAUCUAGCGCAGUGGGGUCGUGGGCCUGACUGGGGCUUCUAGGGACUACCGCAGCAUGAAUAAUAGGGCUGGGAGUGAGAGGAGAAACACCUUGCUGUGAGCAAGCCUCUGUGUGUGUGUGGGGGGGUUGUUUGUUUGUUAAAGUAGGUCUUUUGUGGGAAUUAGGUGAAUUGGUUUAUAAGGUAUAAUUUUGAUUGCAUAUGUUUCUCCUGUUCAAAUGGUGCAUCUUUUCAUUGCUUUUGUCUGCAAAACAUUGACAUAUUGGAAGUACUCAGUUAUUCCCCAAGUGAUACAGAGCAGUAUUUUACGCAGGGUUUUGACUGAACUCGGUUGCAAAACAUACCUAGCCACUGAUUUAUAACCUGAAGCCAUGGAUCGGGCGUCCUAGGCUCUAGCUGUUGUGAGAAGAAAGACACAAAUCAGCUUCUGCAAAACUGUAGAAACUUGGUGGGUGAAUGCUGAAUGCAGGGUAGAUGUCAAAAUUUGUUUGGCAUGUUUAAACCGAAAAAUAAUACUGGCUAAUAAAGCUGAUU